AGCUUAGGGUCACACACAGACAGAAGGACUCCAACAUUAAUACACGCUGAUCUCCCCAAAUCCCAGUCAGAAAAGGCUUUUCAUACUACUGAACCAAGCUGAGCCGAACCAAACCAAGCUGGCCUGGUUCCACAUCCACCAUAGUUGUUGGAACCAUGCUAAAAAGGACAAAGCAAAACAUCUGUGCCAGCACAGUUUGGGUUAGGUCAGGACCAUAGUGUGAAAAGGGUAUUUGUUUCAUAAUGAUAAAGCUCUGUCUAGAUGUUUCACAGUUUGGGUUAGGUCAGGACCAUAGUGUGAAAAGGGUAUUUGUUUCAUAAUGAUAAAGCUCUGUCUAGAUGUUUCACAGUUUGGGUUAGGUCAGGACCAUAGUGUGAAAAGGGUAUUUGUUUCAUAAUGAUAAAGCUCUGUCUAGAUGUUUCACAGUUUGGGUUAGGUCAGGACCAUAGUGUGAAAAGGGUAUUUGUUUCAUAAUGAUAAAGCUCUGUCUAGAUGUUUCACAGUUUGGGUUAGGUCAGGACCAUAGUGUGAAAAGGGUAUUUGUUUCAUAAUGAUAAAGCUCUGUCUAG